rnacentral:lncRNA from 1 species
GCUGGGUUUCCCUACCUUUUCCCCCCUUUUUCCCUUAAAACCCUGUCUCACCCCCUGUUCGGGGCCAUUUGCUGGUGGUGCCCAUCCCCGUUGGUGCUUCUGUAAUAAACCAACAGCCUACCUCCAGCAAGUGGUCGCNUUUUUUUUUUUUUUUUUUUUUUUACAUCCUAGGCUUUGAGAAAUAUCAGAAUCAGAAACAGCAGGAGGACCAGCAGCAUUAGAAAUAGUGUGUUUGACAUUUCAUUUCAGGCAAGCCAGAAAGGUUUUUUAAAUCAUGCUGUCUGCCUUUUCUCUUUGGCACAUCCUUUCCCUUUGAUUUCCUUUUCAUUCUCCUGAGUUUUUCAUUAUCUUUCCAGUACAAAACAUUAGACCACCGUGCUACAUAAUGGAAAUGAAACAUUUAAGGGAUACUGAGUGCUGUGGCCUCACUGCAGAUCAGAAUGUGACUGUGAUACAUACAGACGCAUACCCCAGCUUUUGAACUGGCACAUCUAAUGGUUUGUACUCUCUGUGUGAUGGUUUGGCCCUGACAGCAGACCAGCACCUACCCAGCUGCUCUUCCACCCCCAGCAAAACAGAAGAAAAAAAAUAAGAAGAAUAAGGGAAAAACACUCAAAGAUGAAAAACAGAAGCAGCUGAAUAUAGGAAGGUAUGUGAUGUAAGGUGCAGUGCAUGGGCUGGAAGGGAAGUGAAGAAGGAAAAGCAUGCAAGCAGUAAUGAAAUGUUCUGAGUUCAAAGCUCUAAAAAUGAACUCAGAAGUUCUGAUUGUGCUUGGCGCAAUAAGAAGGGGUGAGGAACUGAGACCAGACUUCGGUGAAGAAAAACAUGUUAUAAAUUCACUAGAUUUGAAUUUGAAGGUUGAAGGUUGUCUUACCUGCAAUAGUGUUUAAAAACUAUGGAAAUAAUUGUGUUGUCUAAAUAUAUGUUCUAUCUAUAUGGACUAUAUGACCUCCAGGGGUGCAUUAAACCUUAUUUAUCCCAUGAUACUAUAAAAUAGGUAAUAAAC